rnacentral:rRNA from 1 species
AGCAGCCGCGGUAAUGCCAUUAAUUUGGUGUUGCGGGGAAUUUGGACUGUUACUUUGAAAAUUAGAGUGUUUAAAGCAAGCUAACGCUUGAAUACAUUAGCAUGGAAUAAUGAAAUAGACGUUCGAUCCUAUUUUGUUGGUUUCUAGGAUUGACGUAAUGAUUAAUAGGGAUAGUUGGGGCAUUAGUAUUCAAUUGUCAGAGGUGAAAUUCUUGGAUUUAUUGAAGACUAA